CAUCCGGCCAUUCCUCUAUUCUCUUGGUCAGGACAAGAAACUGAGAAAGAAGAGGGUCGAAGCAAAUCGGCGCCGGCGGCGAGUGCGGCUGCUGGAGGAGUUUUCUUCUCCGAGUCCGGUUAAGUUGUUUUAAUCCUCGAUUUCAGUCUUGAGAUCCGAAUCGAUUCGCUGCAGGUCGACUCGGAUCGUACGGUUCGAUUCCGAGUCUAAGUGCUGUCUGUGGCGAUUGAUAUAUAUGGCAGGGGCAGGGCAAUUUUCCAGCGAACCAAGAUACUAAUUAAACUCGAUGGGAAUCGAUCACGAUGCUAUUUCCAAGUGGCAUUUGAGCGGGGCGCCAAUCGAUUACGAUGUAAUGUCCAAGUGGAUGGGGUUUGAUACGGAAGAAGAAGUGGAUACGACCAAGAAGAAUGUGAGGAAGAAGACCAAGAUUAAGACGGUGAUUCGCGAGAUGACCCCAGAAAUUUUGGCUAUGCUAGACUACAAAGUGAAACCCGUGCCUCCAUCGAUGUUUGAACAGAAUCCCAAGAAAGCCCUCUUUAAGAGGAACGUCAACGACCGUAUUCUGAUGCUGCAGGACAAGAUUAGACGUGAGUACGACGAGGUUAAGGGCUAUUAUACGUACCAGGUAGAGGUCACCGACGACGAGGAGGAGGUGGAAGAUGCAGCUGCCCACGGCCACAAGGAAGAUUUUUUUGAGAAUCACAAGGAGGAGUAUGAGAUAGUUCCUCCGCUUGUUCCAUUAGCACGAGGGCGAAGAAGAUACCGUCCUGGAGUCGUCAAGCAAGCAACUGGCUGUAAGAAAUUAGCUUAGAUCAAGCUAAGGAAGGUGUUUUAGCCAACCCCAAGUGCUUCAUCACUCUGGUAACCUUGCUCGAUGUGAUCCAUGCUAAAUCACUGUGUAAUUUCCUGCAAAACUUUUCAGGAAGAAAGAUCAUCAGCUUAGGCUCGUUCCAAAAUAAGAAAUGCUGAAAAUAAAAAGAAAUUUAGUUAAUCUGAUUAUGUUUGUUAAAUUCUGAACCUAUUUUUGUACUCCCUCCGAUUUACAAAGUUGUACUACCUCUGAGAUACUUAUUAUGAAUCGGAGGGAGUACUUGUUAGCAGAGUAUGCUGGGCUGUGUGCACUCUAAUUAUGCAGAGGCUGAGAGUGUUUUCGGUAUGAUUGUAUCACCAUAGAUGUAAUUGUCUGAGUUCAGUAAAAAA